CCCAUUUGUCCAGCAGGAACCACUGGGGCAUGCUUUGCAUACUUGUUCACUCCGAUUGACUGAGCUCUGAGGAGCCCACGCUGGAGCUGGGGAUGAAGUGAUCAUGAAGGAAGACAAGAGAGAGACACAAAAGAUUAAAAGUUAUUCCAGUCUCUGCUCGAGGAAAUUGACUGUGCGUACAAAGACAUCCCUCUCCACUCGGCGAUUCGCUGGCUAAGCUGCGGAAAAGUUUGGAGCAGUUUGUUGGCUGCUUUGAUGCCAUCAAGGCCUUCCUGUCUGAAAAGACCUGAGACUUCCCAGAAUUUGAGGAUGAGAAGUGGUUUGUGAAACUCAUGUUUCUCACGGUUAUUACGGGACAUCUCAACAAGGGAGGAUUUUGGAAACGUGCUGAUUUCAGAAUGUCUGCUUUCACAGCAGGGUCAUCCAGGUCCAAUCCUGCAGCUUCACUUCAAGAACGAGGGGAGAAAGAAAACACACGUUUACAGUACAGAGGUUUUUUUCUGGACUCAUAUGAGGUCACCCUGACCUUUGAGCACUGAAAUCUAAUCUGUUCAUCUUCAACAUCUUCAUUUGACAACUGAUCAAAAUAUGAGGAAAUUAUCGAAACACAGACUUGAAAUAUCAUGUUCAAGAUAUGUUUUAUAAGUUAACCACCACCAACUGAAAUCUAAUCAGUUCAUCUGUGAGUCUAUGGCUGUGUUCCAAAUCCCUCACUAAUCACUGUAUAGUGCACUAUAUGCUGAGUUCGCCGUUUUUUAUUGGUGUCCAAAUGUUUACAGAUUUUUUGUAUACCCUAUAUAAUGGACUCAUUGUUUCCCACAAUGCAUCUUGAGAAGUAGCGUACAACCAAUGGUCACUAACAAAACAAUAUAUACCAUCAUGCAAUGCACUCGUGGUGGAGAGACGGGAGGAGCGAGGGCAGCAGGAACAGCCCGACCUGUAGUUCUAAUAAAAUAGAAGCAGAGCGGUGCAUCACAGCACAAAG